rnacentral:rRNA from 1 species
AACGAACGCUGGCGGCAUGCCUAACACAUGCAAGUCGAACGAACCCUUCGGGGUUAGUGGCGCACGGGUGCGUAACACGUGGAAUCUGCCCUUUGCUUCGGAAUAACAGUUAGAAAUGACUGCUAAUACCGGAUGAUGUCGUAAGACCAAAGAUUUAUCGGCAAAGGAUGAGCCCGCGUAGGAUUAGGUAGUUGGUGGGGUAAAGGCCUACCAAGCCGACGAUCCUUAGCUGGUCUGAGAGGAUGAUCAGCCACACUGGGACUGAGACACGGCCCAGACUCCUACGGGAGGCAGCAGUGGGGAAUAUUGGACAAUGGGCGAAAGCCUGAUCCAGCAAUGCCGCGUGAGUGAUGAAGGCCUUUCUGGUUGUAAAGCUCUUUUACCAGGGAUGAUAAUGACAGUACCUGGAGAAUAAGCUCCGGCUAACUCCGUGCCAGCAGCCGCGGUAAU